CUUGCCCUACGGGACGCAGCAGUGGGGAAUAUUGCACAAUGGGGGAAACCCUGAUGCAGCGACGCCGCAUGAGUGAAGAAGUAAUUCGUUACGUAAAGCUCUAUCAGCAGGGAAGAAACACUGACCUUACGGUCAGCAGACGGUACCUGAGUAAGAAGCCCCGGCUAACUACGUGCCAGCAGCCGCGGCGAUACGUAGGGGGCAAGCGUUAUCCGGAUUUACUGGGUGUAAAGGGAGCGUAGACGGUGCGCCAAGUCUGGAGUGAAAUGCCGCAGCUUAACUGCGGAACUGCUUUGGAAACUGGC
rnacentral:rRNA from 1 species